rnacentral:rRNA from 1 species
AACGAACGCUGGCGGCAUGCCUAACACAUGCAAGUCGAACGAGACCUUCGGGUCUAGUGGCGCACGGGUGCGUAACGCGUGGGAACCUGCCCUUAGGUUCGGAAUAACUCCCCGAAAGGGGUGCUAAGACCGGUUAAUGUCUUCGGACCAAAGAUUUAUCGCCUUUGGAUGGGCCCGCGUUGGAUUAGCUAGUUGGUAGGGUAAAAGCCUACCAAGGCGACGAUCCAUAGCUGGUCUGAGAGGAUGAUCAGCCACACUGGGACUGAGACACGGCCCAGACUCCUACGGGAGGCAGCAGUGGGGAAUAUUGGACAAUGGGCGAAAGCCUGAUCCAGCAAUGCCGCGUGAGUGAUGAAGGCCUUAGGGUUGUAAAGCUCUUUUACCCGGGAUGAUAAUGACAGUACCGGGAGAAUAAGCUCCGGCUAACUCCGUG